rnacentral:lncRNA from 1 species
ACGUUAAUGCACGAGUUAUUUAUUAUUUGGAGUUUAUUGUGCUUGAUAGUUUUAUUGUAGAAAUUUAUAUGUACUAAGAAGCAAUAACAAAGAUAACCAAUAACAAAGAUUCAGGCCUUCAGAUAAGUUGCUAAAAUCUUUCCAGAAAAUUGAGAUUAGCUCUCUAAAUGAUUUCCUUUAUAUUCUUGACUAAUACAAAAUGACCUUAAAUAUGUUUACUUUUUGAGUAUUUACUUAUGGGAACUAGAGUGAUGUUAUCAAUAAAGUGCUUUUAUUUAAGCAGUAGGUUAUCAGUGACAGAAGCCAUACAGAUGAAUGUAUGACAUGAUGUAAUCAUUGGAGAGAAUAUUAAAAUACAUUAGUAGGUGCUCAAUAAGUGAUUGUGACGAUGGCAAAACGAGGACAAUCCUGGGAAUAAACUGAAGAAAUGCCAUUGAACACACAUUUGUCUAAAAGUUAUAGAACAUUUCUAAACUAGGCUGUAAUAAAAAAAUUAUUACACAUUCAAAAUGUGGACACUCCAGUAUAAGAUACAUAGUACAGCGUUCCAAAAUGUAUUAAAGAAAUAAAUGUAAUUUAUUUCAUUGCUGUUACUACGU